rnacentral:ncRNA from 1 species
GCGUCCUGCUCGUGAUCGUCUUCUCAGCCUUCACCUGCCGGACGGAAUGACGAAGGACCCCCGCGAGGACAUGACUCGCGGGGGUCCUUC